rnacentral:rRNA from 1 species
UACGUAGGUGACAAGCGUUGUCCGGAUUUACUGGGCGUAAAGAGCGCGCAGGCGGUCGUUCAAGUCGAGUGUGAAAGCCCCCGGCUCAACUGGGGAGGGUCACUCGAUACUGAUCGACUCGAAGGCAGGAGAGGGAAGUGGAAUUCCCGGUGUAGUGGUGAAAAUGCGUAGAUAUCGGGAGGAACACCAGUGGCGAAAGGCGACUUCCUGGCCUGUUCUUGACGCUGAGGCGCGGAAGCUAGGGGAGCAAACGGG